UUGGAGAAAUUCUUACUGAUGCAUUCCCUGCACAGGGGACUGUGGACCAAAUUAGUUUUGUUCCCAAUUCUUCUCAUCCUUUGCAGUUCAUUCAAGGACAUAUAACACUAUCCAUUACUGCAGAAUGGACAUAUACACAUAUUCCCUCCUCAAGGAAGUAAUCAGCAAUUCCCCUACAUAGUGAUCCUCAGCAGUGUCCUCACACAAAACUCAUAUUACAUGUAUGUCAUUGACCAAGUGCUGCAUUUUUCUGGGUCUCUGGAACUCCCCUUAUCUAAACCAAAGUCACAGGGAAAAUCGAGAUAUAUUGGACCUUCACUAAUAUCAUUCAUACAAGUGGAAGAAUCUUUAGACAGCAUUGCACCUAAAAAUUUCACUGUGGACUCUUGUUUCUCUUCAUCCAGUACUCCUGCGAUUUUGUCAUUCCAUAAUGACAUCUCCCACUGUUCGUACCUGUAUACAGGACUUUGAUACCGAUUCCUUCCUAGGCGUGGGUACUUAAUCCGUCUGCCGGUAUGAAAGGGAGCCAAAUAUAUCUUAUGUGAAAGGCCAACAGAAACAGAUGGCCACAGAACAUGGAGCACUCAGUAUUGCACAUGUAGUUCCUCAUGAUGGAGUCCAGCAAAUCUCUGAUCCAUAGGAACAUAAUUCUUCCUUAUUUUCCAGUUGAGACCUCACUCCCAGCUUUUGGUUUCUCUAAGGUGCUCUAUACGAUGUAGGAAGACAGACAGCACUUUUGCAGAUAACCUUUGUGCAUGGAGGCUUCACAUCAUCAAAUUCUUUCAAAAUGUAUUCAUUCUGCAAUGUCUUUUUCCAGAAGUCUCCUCACUACUUUACUUUUCCAAAAUUUCCUCAUACUACCACUCUAGAGACUUGCACAUCAACAUUAUUUUUCCUCUCUUCAGAUCAGUUACACUGACUUCCCUGCAGAAAACUUACCAGAAAUUUUCACAACAAAAGAAAGGAUUCUUUUAUAUUCCCUAGUCCCAUGAAGGAUAAAUCAGGAGAUACUCUUGUUGUAUAUGUCUCCUUUUAAAUGGCAUACAGGGCAUGGGAACACUCUUAUUCAUUCUCAGGCAGUCUGGGCACCAUCCACGUUUGCCCCCAACUCUAGGGGCUCUUAUGUUUAUUGAAUAAGUUCUUUUCCUUCCUAUGCACUGGAUCUUUGAGACAUCACUGUAAGUAUAUGGUUCCAGGGAAAGGUUACAUCGGAACAUACAUUUUAUUUACAUUUUCCCCUCCCAAAUCUUCACUCGUUCUUUACUAUUUAAUCUAUUUUCUGUAGAAUAUUCUCUUCCUUUUAAUCAGUUUCCUGAAAUGUCUUCAUCUACACUAUUUCAUAUCAAUGUUUUUCAUGUGUUUAAUAGGCUUGUAAGCUUGUAAUAUUUUCUACGUUUUUUUGCUCCCAUACACAAAUAUCAGAUUGAUCUGUAACUUUCCUAGAACUGUUUUCUUAUCACAUAUGUGAAAACUAGAACAUGUAUCCUGUACACAAAGGACACAGGGCUAUUCAUUUGACUUCUACCUGUAGUUUUCAGGAUGGUGGUUUUCUUUCAAAGGUUUUCUGACACGUUUGGCAUUUGACCAGGAAAAUUUAGGAUAUUUUCUUCCCACUCAGCGCUUUGUGGAAAAUUAACAACUACUUCAUCGACUUUCUCCAUAAAGUUAAUCUCUUCCCAAAAGACACAAAACUUUUCAUUUCCUAGCCAGGCUUUCUAUAUAUAUCCCUCUCUUUGUAUGUAACACACACACACACACACACACACACACACACACACACACACAUAUAUAUAUAUGUGUGCCUAAACAUCAUACUAUAAUUUUGACUCUCUUGCCUAAGUAUUUUAUGUCCCAUGAUAUUUGAAUAAUGAUGUUUGUACUACUUUUGUUAGUACAAAUAUUCCCUAUCGGUUCUUCAUGUUCUAAGACAUUUACACUUGAAGUAAGGUCUCAGAACUUCAUAUGCAGUAGAAAACAGGUUUGUAUAUUCCCCUCCAGAAAAGUAGGUGUAGAAUGUCCCUCUGUUCUCAACUUGGACUAAGAAGUUCCUUCUCAAAUCAGAGGAUGUUAUAUAUAUUACUGAGUGCAAACAGGACUGUAAAAUCAUGCCUCCUUACCAUUGGUAACAAGAAGAAAUGAAAUCCCAUGCUUCUGCUUCUCAAUAUUUCUCUUUCAGUUAAAAGAGGGAAAAGGUAAGACCAAACGAGAAGUCAUCAAACCUAAACUACUACACAAAGGUAGGCUUGGUAAUUCUCAUAUGUGUAAAUUAAAGUAUUUCUGCUACCCAAUUGAGCAUAGUAUCAGAUUUUCAUUAGUUAACUAAGAGUGACAUGCAGGAGUCCAUAUACAAUGAGGGGAAUUCAGACAUUCACUACCAGUACUGUAUUUUUGAGAGAUAACUUCCUAUGAGAAGAAAGUUAAAGAGAAUACCAUGUGUAUACUUAUGAAUAUCUACAAUCGUAACUGGUGUUUAAAACUAACCUCUAUGACCCAAAAUUAUUAUGAAAACUUCUUGAAAUUCAUGCUAACACUAGACCUAUCCUGUUUCCAUGGAGAACUGACAGUUAUGGAGACCAUAUCCCUCUUUGCUUGGUGGCACUUAAAUGUUCCAUUUUGAAAAGGAAAUUAUGGGAACACUAAUUUGAAGCCACAUUAAAAAAAUUCAGAAAAUCUACCUUGACAGCCAGGCCAUUUACUGACAAUUUUUCAUCAGAAGUAGGAUGUUUCUGUUCUUCAUGAUAACAUUUUUCAAGUUAUUUAAAAGUUUGAGAACCCAGAUCCAAGAAAUUACAUCUAAACUUGGAGAAGAACGUGAAGAUUUCUCUCAUGCCUUCAGUGGAGUUCCCAGUGACAGAGGCUUCCAAUACUUUCUGAAGAAUUCAAAUAUGACAAGAAUUUUCCUGGAUUGUGCUUUUCCUUACAAGUUGUAGAUAACAGAGAAAAAAGACAGAAAACAAAGCCUGGAAUCUACCUACUGCUUGCAUUUCAGUCAGUAGAAACUGUGUGAUCUCAACAUUGCAGCUCAGAUAUGGACUCAAGAGAUAUGGAUAAUCAAAAUUACAUUGGAGAUUGUAAAUUGAAGAGAAUGUUGUAGGACUAUACUUGAUUGUAUUGUACAAGCAACUGGAAGUUCACUUCAAAUGCCCGAAUCUUCUUAGAAGAAUUGUGAGAC